GCCCUACUGGCCUAAUGGCUAAGGCGUAUGACUUCGUAUGUGUCCCCGUGGCCCUUUCGAAUUAAACAAAACUAACCUGUUAAUUAUAGUAAUCAUAAGAUUGGGGGUUCGAGUCCCCCGUGGGGUU